GAGGAGCCCCAGCAGAGCCUGUAGCUUCACUCUGUGAAGUGGCUACAGAAGUGGCACAAAACUCAAGCUUUUGGCAUGCUCAGGAAAGCUCAGAGGACUUUCUCAGUCAAAUCAUAGGGGUGUUUCCCUGAAAAUGCAUCAAAGUAGUUGCAGUAUUUGCACAAAGCUUGUUCUGAUUUGUGUUAGCAUACCCUCUAUGAGAAAUGCUAACUUGUGUUUUGCCAAGAAGCUCAGUGCUCAAAUGAAUCACAGCCAUGUGUUUUCCUUGAGUUGAAAGCUGCACAGUACAGGAGGAAAGUGGAAUUUGACUUUCCAAGUCCAGUCAAACAUUAACCACUUACUAUGAAGCCUUACAGCAGCAUUAACACCAGCUUGAAGGCCGACUGCUCCAAGAUGCAGAAGAAUCACUCUAAAUUUAGCAAAGAGAUCGGAUGCGUUGGUGUGGCACUGAGUGGGUGGGUGACAGCACGAACAGUCAGCGCCGUCCUGCUCGCUGCUCGGCCUGGUCCCCAGUGCCUUCUAGAAAUAAGCUUUCUCAUAACCCCACCACUGGUCCAGUGCUGUCUGUGCUGUGCUGUGGUAAUACCACAAGCUCCUGAAGGAGGUCAGCAGCCAUUAUAGACACCGGACAACUAGCACAUGUCAUGAAAGGUUCUUCCCCCAAUGGCUUCUCACCCAUAAAUGUUAAAAGAGGAGGUAAAAGUGUGUGUAAGAAUGAGAAAAGGAGAGACCACACUGAAUGGCAGCAGGAGCAGAGGUACACCAGUGUGCACAGAGCCAUU
ensembl:lncRNA